rnacentral:rRNA from 1 species
AUUGAACGCUGGCGGCAUGCCUUACACAUGCAAGUCGAACGGCAGCGGGGGAGAAGCUUGCUUUUCCUGCCGGCGAGUGGCGAACGGGUGAGUAAUACAUCGGAACGUGCCCUGUAGAGGGGGAUAACUAGUCGAAAGAUUAUCUAAUACCGCAUACGACCUGAGGGUGAAAGUGGGGGACCGCCAGGCCUCAUGCUAUAGGAGCGGCCGAUGUCUGAUUAGCUAGUUGGUGGGGUAAAGGCCUACCAAGGCGACGAUCAGUAGCUGGUCUGAGAGGACGAUCAGCCACACUGGGACUGAGACACGGCCCAGACUCCUACGGGAGGCAGCAGUGGGGAAUUUUGGACAAUGGGCGAAAGCCUGAUCCAGCAAUGCCGCGUGUGUGAAGAAGGCCUUCGGGUUGUAAAGCACUUUUGUCCGGAAAGAAAUGGCUCUGGUUAAUACCUGGGGUCGAUGACGGUACCGGAAGAAUAAGGACCGGCUAACUACGUGCCAGCCGCCGCGGUAA